GUACUUGUACCGACUGGAUGAGCAGCGAACGGGUGAGUAACGCGUGGGGAAUCUGCCUUUGAGCGGGGGACAACAUUUGGAAACGAAUGCUAAUACCGCAUAAAAACUUUAAACACAAGUUUUAAGUUUGAAAGAUGCAAUUGCAUCACUCAAAGAUGAUCCCGCGUUGUAUUAGCUAGUUGGUGAGGUAAAGGCUCACCAAGGCGAUGAUACAUAGCCGACCUGAGAGGGUGAUCGGCCACAUUGGGACUGAGACACGGCCCAAACUCCUACGGGAGGCAGCAGUAGGGAAUCUUCGGCAAUGGACGAAAGUCUGACCGAGCAACGCCGCGUGAGUGAAGAAGGUUUUCGGAUCGUAAAACUCUGUUGGUAGAGAAGAACGUUGGUGAGAGUGGAAAGCUCAUCAAGUGACGGUAACUACCCAGAAAGGGACGGCUAACUACGUGCCAGCAGCCGCGGUAAUACGUAGGUCCCGAGCGUUGUCCGGAUUUAUUGGGCGUAAAGCGAGCGCAGGUGGUUUAUUAAGUCUGGUGUAAAAGGCAGUGGCUCAACCAUUGUAUGCAUUGGAAACUGGUAGACUUGAGUGCAGGAGAGGAGAGUGGAAAUCCAUG
rnacentral:rRNA from 1 species